rnacentral:rRNA from 1 species
CAAGUCGAGCGAACGGACGAGAAGCUUGCUUCUCUGAUGUUAGCGGCGGACGGGUGAGUAACACGUGGAUAACCUACCUAUAAGACUGGGAUAACUUCGGGAAACCGGAGCUAAUACCGGAUAAUAUUUUGAACCGCAUGGUUCAAAAGUAAAAGACGGUCUUGCUGUCACUUAUAGAUGGAUCCGCGCUGCAUUAGCUAGUUGGUAAGGUAACGGCUUACCAAGGCAACGAUGCAUAGCCGACCUGAGAGGGUGAUCGGCCACACUGGAACUGAGACACGGUCCAGACUCCUACGGGAGGCAGCAGUAGGGAAUCUUCCGCAAUGGGCGAAAGCCUGACGGAGCGACGCCGCGUGAGUGAUGAAGGUCUUCGGAUCGUAAAACUCUGUUAUUAGGGAAGAACAUAUGUGUAAGUAACUGUGCACAUCUUGACGGUACCUAAUCAGAAAGCCACGGCUAACUACGUGCCAGCAGCCGCGGUAAUACGUAGGUGGCAAGCGUUAUCCGGAAUUAUUGGGCGUAAAGCGCGCGUAGGCGGUUUUUUAAGUCUGAUGUGAAAGCCCACGGCUCAACCGUGGAGGGUCAUUGGAAACUGGAAAACUUGAGUGCAGAAGAGGAAAGUGGAAUUCCAUGUGUAGCGGUGAAAUGCGCAGAGAUAUGGAGGAACACCAGUGGCGAAGGCGACUUUCUGGUCUGUAACUGACGCUGAUGUGCGAAAGCGUGGGGAUCAAACAGGA